rnacentral:rRNA from 1 species
CAGCUUGUUGGUGAGGUAACGGCUCACCAAGGCUUCGACGGGUAGCCGGCCUGAGAGGGCGACCGGCCACACUGGGACUGAGAUACGGCCCAGACUCCUACGGGAGGCAGCAGUGGGGAAUAUUGCACAAUGGGCGCAAGCCUGAUGCAGCAACGCCGCGUGCGGGAUGACGGCCUUCGGGUUGUAAACCGCUUUCAGUUCCGACGAAGCGCAAGUGACGGUAGGAACAGAAGAAGGACCGGCCAACUACGUGCCAGCAGCCGCGGUGAUACGUAGGGUCCGAGCGUUGUCCGGAAUUAUUGGGCGUAAAGGGCUUGUAGGCGGUUUGUCACGUCGAAAGUGAAAACUCAGGGCUUAACCCUGAGCCUGCUUCCGAUACGGGCAAACUAGAGGGAUGCAGGGGAGAAUGGAAUUCCUGGUGGAGCGGUGGAAUGCGCAGAUAUCAAGAGGAACACCGGUGGCGAAAGC